AGUGACAUAUAGUUAGCGGCGAUUAUUUAUAACCGCCUCUAAAUAACUAUUUUGAGGCGGUUAUAGAAACCGCCACUAAUUUUAAGAUGAGACCCUAAAUAA